rnacentral:rRNA from 1 species
UACGUAGGCAGCAAGCGUUGUUCGGAAUUACUGGGCGUAAAGAGUGUGUAGGCGGUGCUCCAAGUCUGGUGUGAAAUCUCCCGGCUUAACUGGGAGGGUGCAUUAGAAACUGGAAUGCUAGAGGAUGGGAGAGGUAAGCGGAAUUCCUGGUGUAGCGGUGAAAUGCGUAGAUAUCAGGAGGAACACCUGUGGUGUAGACAGCUUACUGGACCAUUUCUGACGCUGAGACACGAAAGCGUGGGUAGCAAACAG